GAGAUCCAACUGUGGGCAAUGGAUUCUUCCAUUGGCUAUAGCCAGGGCUUAACCUUGAUUGACAGCUCCUUGAGUUGUGUCUGUUCACUCUCUCCCACCAUUCUCCUCAAGAAAGGGGCUCUGUCCUCUGUUGCCUGUUCUCCUGCCUUCCUACAUGGCCCCACCAUGCUUGUUUAUAGCCUUGGUACAGCUUUUUGGCAGCAGGGCAGUCCCAUUCUGACCUCAUUAUCUUCUUUGCCCGAUUUGUACCGCUCACUCACUAUCAUUGUGUGGAUGUCUUCCUCUUGUCAUCUGCCGUCAAUGAUGGCUCCAGUGACCUGUCCCAUUCUAUCAUUCUUGAAUUUUAAGAAUCAUGCUUAAAUCCUAUGUUUUUCUUCUGACCUCACUUCCCUUGUCUCUCCUAAUUCCUUAGGGUGUCCUACCACACUGGUUUCCUCAAAAAGCACCCUACCCUCUCCCGUCACUUACCCCUACAUUUGCACUUGUCAUCCCCUCAGCCUGGAGUAGUCUUCUUUCAGAAAGUCACAAGGCUUACUACAUCAUGCCUUUCACAUCUCCAUUCAAGUUUAACUCCCUAGAAAGGCUUUCCUUGACCAUCUCCCUACACUCUCUAUCACUCUUUAGGCCUUUUCUCUGCUUUAUUAUUAUUUUUUUCAUUGCAUCUUUAACUACUGGAUCUCAGAUUAUUUUUUCAUUUGCUUGUUUAUUAUCUGUCCCUACACCCUGCCUUACCCAGAAUGUAAGCAGGCUCUGUGACAGUAGGACUUUCAUCUGCUUUCUUCAGCAGGUACAGAGCCUAGAAUAGUGCUCAGCACAUAGUAGGUGCUUAGUGAAUCACCUGUUCUUUGCCAACACAAUUCCAUAAUUCUUAAUAACUGUAGUUGACUAUUAAUAAAAUGAAAUGUGCUAGGAAUAAAAUUUUAAAAAAUCUUAUUUUUUUGAAAAAAUAUUAGGAGUAUUGAUUAGUAAUUUCUUAUGUAAUUUUGUAAUCACCAAAGCUCAAAAACAAAAAGCUCUCUUAUUUUCUAGAAAAUCCAUUUGGUCCAAAACCUGCCCUUGAAAAUCUUAUGUAUGAAUUUAUUUAUUUCACUUAAUAUGAAUAUUCAUGUAUUUUAGUACCACAAUAUUAAUGUAUUUGAUUUUAGGGUACUUCUCUACUCCCUUAAUAUAAAAUGUGGUAUAUGCAUUAUACCAACCUUAAAAUCUGAAAGUUCUUAGUUUAAAAUAUACCUAAGCCCCAGGCUUUUCAGACAAGGAAGCUCAGAACAGUUUUGCAAUUGUUCCUUUUUAGUCUCUUCUCAAGGAUGUAAAAGAGGGGAGAGAGAGAAGUAAAGAGGUGAAGAGAAUUAGCACGAGGUAAGAUUGGGGAGUAGUUUGGGGGAAUUGGUAGAAAGAAGGGCUGACUUUAUGAGUAACUUUGGGGAAUGUUAAGGAGAUUUUUAAGGAAGUAGUUCUGCUGCAUAUCAUGCAAUGCAAUUCUCCUAUGCUAUCAACUCCAGACCUACCGUAAAAACUAGAAUUAUUUUUUAGUGCUUUUUAUACUUAUAUUUUUAUUUUGGAUGCAUCACUGAGCUGAGAUCGAGUUCAAAGCAUCUAGCACAUUUCUGGUUCCAUGAAAAUUCACAAGAAAUUGCAUAUCUGUUACUGGUUUAUAUUAAAAUGUGAAAACUUCAUUGUAUUCCUAUUCUGAGAAUUCUUUUCUUUUCAGAGCACAAUAAUAAUUCUGGUUCUUACCAGAAUAUUAAAGAAACUCUUUAGGUAGCUAUAAAAUUAAUCAAACAAAUUAAUAUGUUGCACAUAGAAUAGCAGGUUGAAGAUAAAUUUGGGCUGGUAUUCAAAUAUUCUCUAUUAGGCAGUUGUAUUGGGUAGAUACUAUGCCAGGAACUUUCACAAAUGUCAAACUCUAAAUCCUAAGGGAAACUGCUGAUAUUUAUUUCCCCAUUGUGUUUAAUCAAAUGUUAGAAUAUUUUACCCAUAUGAUAUUAUCUCAGCAUGGAGUAGAGUGAUUUUUUUUUUUUUUUGCCAUAUCAUGGUUAAUUUCCUGUUUGUAAAAUAUUAAGAUGAUUGCAUUGGUCAUUUUUCUUCUGGAAAUUUUGGCAAUAUGUAAACAUAGGCUUAAUCAGAGUUUAUCUGGAUUGAUAAGAAAUUGUCACUUAAAUUUUUCUCACUGGUUAAAACAGAUUCUACUUUGUAAUGCUUUGUGUGUUUCUAGUAUUUUUAUGGUGUGGUAAGUACAAAUCGCAGGGCCCUGCUCCUUCAGUUGGUAUUUCCUGCCUUGCUGUUGAGCAGAGCAGACUGCCUGUGGGUGAGGGUGAGAAAGGAAGGAUCCAUGCUUGGAGAAUUAGGUCCCCCUACUACCAAUGAGAGACUACACCAUGUGAGUGGGGCUAAAAUGAAAAAGAUCCACAUUUCUGAAACUGAUGGUGUCUUGAUAAUCAUAGAUAACUGCUUUAAAUUAAUUUUAGUUGGUGUAUUAGAAAAUACAAAAAUUUUAUAUACUGGUGGCAGGCACACUAUGGCUAAUUUAUAUAAUGUGACAAGAAAACUAGCAUUUGAAAACAAAUUGGUAAUUAUUGAAGUAAUUUUUGCAUCUCUUUUCACUCUGUCUUGGGGAAUUAGCUUUUGGGUAUUGCCUAGGUAACAAUAUUUCAAUUUCAUUCAAAAUGAUCACUAUUAUGAUAGUAAAGAUCAAAUUUCAUUAAAUCUAGACACAUAGUACUUUUCAUUUUGAAAACCCAAAACUCAUUUCUUUUUCUUAAAGGAAUAUUCAAUAUCAUUCAGUACUAAAAAUU
rnacentral:lncRNA from 1 species